AGCCCUAAGAAAUUAUUUAGGGUGUAAUCUGCCCAAUGAAUUUUAAAUGGCCGCGGUACUUUGACCGUGCUAAGGUAGCAUAAUCAAUUGACUUUUAAAUGGAGUCUGGAAUGAAGGAAAAAACGGGAUUAAGCUGUCUCUAAUUUUUUAUUUUGAAUUUACUAAUUAGGUGAAAAGGCCUAAGUAAGAUAAAAGACGAGAAGACCCUUAGAGUUUUAAUAUAUUUUCGUUGGGGCGACGUGGAAUCAGAAGUUAACAUUCUGUUAAUUAUAUGACGGAUUUUUCAUGAUUAGAUAAACUACCUGAGGGAUAACAGCAUAAUCUUAUUAGGUUUGUGACCUCGAUGUUGGACUAGGAAGCCUUUAGGCUAGUCGCCUAAAAGGGGAAUUCUGUUCGAAUUUUUACUCCU
rnacentral:rRNA from 1 species